rnacentral:rRNA from 1 species
UACGUAGGGGCCGAGCGUUGUCCGGAGUUAUUGGGCGUAAAGCGCGCGCAGGCGGCUUGGCGCGCCCGACGUGAAAGCCCCGGGCUUAACCGGGGAGAGUCGUCGGGGACGGCCGGGCUUGAGGGCGGGAGAGGGUGGUGGAAUUCCCGGUGUAGUGGUGAAAUGCGUAGAGAUCGGGAGGAACACCUGUGGCGAAGGCGGCCACCUGGGCCGACCCUGACGCUGAGGCGCGAAGGCGUGGGGAGCGAACGGG